rnacentral:lncRNA from 1 species
CUUCCCUACCGAACUCAAACUAUAUGUUCCUAAGGCACCGAAAUUCAAAACGAACAACAGCAUAGACCCCGGGAAUCCUCCUCCUGGACCUGGACCUGGAUCAAAAGGUUGAGUGGGAUCUACCAUUUGAACCCACUUCUCAAC